rnacentral:tRNA from 1 species
GUCAGCUUAGUAUAAGAGGGGAGUAUAAAAGAUUGUAAAUCUUUUGGUGAAGUUUCAGCUGAAA